GGGGGGGGGGUGCCCGGCGCGGACUUUCCGAGCGCUGGGACGAGCGGGCCGCCGGCUGGAGCCUUAGGGCUCAGAACCCGGAGCAGGCGGCUGCACUGUCGGGCGCAGAGUUACGUUGUUGCGCCGGGGCGGUGGGGUAGAAUGUAUCUCCCGCCGCGUCCCCAAAUGUGGCUCCUUGUUGGACUUGAACGGAGCGUGUGGCUCGUCAGGGGCUUACUGAGGGUUUUUAUUUACUUGAAAAGGACCAACACAGCUCCCUGACUUUAGGGAGAUCUUGCCAUUUUCUCUCGAUCCUCCAAUCCGUGAGCCGUGCGGCUGCUGGAUAAGGAGUUCUUUUCUAAGCGAGUUUCUAAAUUUACCAGCAGUGCCCCGGAAGAGGCCAACACAUGCAUAUUCAGCACCAAAUAAGACUGGCACGCGGUUUUUUUUUUUUUUUUUUAAACGGCUUUGCUGUUUGAAGGGUGGGCGGGAACGUGCUGUUUUUAGAAAAAUGUCAAGAACUUCUCUGAAUCACAUUAGGCAUGCUAAUUACCAAAUAUUAAAUGCUAAUUGCUCUACACGCAUAGUUCUUCGCAUGCCAGGGAAGGGAGGUGGAACUGGUGUAAGCUACUGGGGACAUGACAGGGAUGUUUUUUGACUGACAUUCCGCAGCCUCCACUUGGAGGUGGGAAGCAUGUUCUCUGUAACCUCAGAUGAGUAACACACUAGUGUUUAUCAGUGCAAGCCUCAAGGCUUACAGCAACAAUGUGUCUUGGUUGAUUUUAAGCUGCUUUUUGGGGGAAGGUGAGCCAAGACAACACAAGAAUUGCUCGGAGAUGUCUCAUAGGGAGCUGCUUCGAGACCCGAGGUCAUUCAGUGAACGUGCCAUUACUUUUCCAAUUGGGGAAAACGACGUUAAAAAGAAACAAAAGGGAGCGAGACAGGAAGAGGGAGGGAACCCGCAGUGGCUCCGAAGCUGCACCAGCCACCUCCCCGAGGGCGUCUGUACCCUGCGGCUUCGCUGACAUGACCUGAGGGCAUGGGAAGGAGAAAUGGGAAGAUCUGGGAAAACUUCCAGUCUAUUUGCUCGGAGGUGACCCCGGGAAGCUGUAUGGUUGGUUAACAGGCGGUGAGAGACAGGAAUGUGAGUCCUGGGACGCAGGGACUGUCAGGUGGAUGGCACUUGGCAAGGCCCUCCCCUCCUCCUAUCUCAGCUGCCCGACCGACAGAGAGGGAUCUGGCCAAGAGAGGCUCUCUGAAGCUUUCCAGCUGGGCCCUGUGAGCCCGUACGCCAGCCUCCCCCACAUACCUGUCUGACUUUCCGGUUGGAAAGGACAUACUUUUGUUUCCCACCGACUGUUUCAGUUUUUUGGGUGCAAUGCAUUUCUGAAAAGAUAAAAAGCCAUUUCAGCCGAGGGACAACCUGACCACAGGACACACACAGGAAACAACACAGGAGCCCAGCUGGCCCGUCCAAGACUCCAGUGCCACCAGUGUGAUUGGUUUUCUUGCAAAUGGACCUUUCUGGGUGCUUCUGAAGGCGAGGCCGUCCAGACGAGCUCCCAAAGGAACAGGAGGGCUCCACACAGGCCUCAGCCUCCGCAUGCCAAACUUGCGGUCACGUUUGGCCCCGCCUGGCAGCAACGCCCACAGGGGCAGAUGCAGGCUUGUGCGGGCGCCCGAGGGAGUGUUUAUGGCCUGUAGCUGUAAUUCCCAUGGCAGUGAACAGCAAACACCCCUUCAAACCACACGCCAGCCUUCACAACCUCUUUAAAAGUUCAUUUUUAUUGCUGGAAUAGCUGGUAGGUAUUGUCUGUACUUGGGGAGAGAUGAGGUGAGGGAAAGGAUGUGCAGAGGAAGAGGGUUCCUAGCCAGGCCGUCUUCCCAGCAAAGGAAGAGGGGAAAAAAAGCACCACGAGGAGAGAAUUUUCAAGAAGAUUUUUCUUUCUUUUUAAUGGUAUCUUGUAUUUUGUUUUUUGAAUUUGGAAUCAAAGCCUAGUUGACAUAUACGAGCCCAUUAGUUUUCCACAUCAAGUAUAUUUCUUACCUUGCCGGGCUGGGUCUGCUUAUUUGGAUCAAAUUGGGAAGAAGGUUUCGGUUUGCUGUCUCC